rnacentral:rRNA from 1 species
AUUGAACGCUGGCGGCAUGCUUUACACAUGCAAGUCGGACGGCAGCACAGAGAAGCUUGCUUCUUGGUUUUCGAGUGGCGAACGGGUGAGUAACAUAUCUGAACUUACCGAGCAGUUGGGGAUAACUAAUCGAAAGAUUAGCUAAUACCGCAUAUUUUCUGAGGAAGAAAGCUGAGAACCUUUGGGCCGUGCGCUGGUUGAGCGUCCGAUAUCUGAUUAGCGAGUUGGUGGGGUAAAGGCUCACCAAGGCGACGAUCAGUAGCGGGUCUGAGAGGAUGAUCCGCCACACUGGGACUGAGACACGGCCCAGACUCCUACGGGAGGCAGCAGUGGGGAAUUUUGGACAAUGGGCGCAAGCCUGAUCCAGCCAUGCCGCGUGUCUGAAGAAGGCCUUCGGGUUGUAAAGGACUUUUGUCAGGGAAGAAAGGGGCGGGGUUAAUACCCCUGUCUGAUGACGGUACCUGAAGAAUAAGCACCGGCUAACUACGUG